UUUCCGUAGGUGAACCUGCGGAAGGAUCAUCACCAAAAAAAACACAAAAACAAAAAAAACACAAAAAAGAAACCUUCAAAAAAAAGAAAGAAAUUUCUUUUUUUUGAAGACUUUUUUUAAAAAAAAAAGAGUUCUUUACGGGACUCUUUCUUCGAUUGUUUGUUGUCACAUCACGACGAGAAGAAGGAGGGAAAAAAAAAAUGGGGGGAUUUUUCUUUCUUUCACUAGAGAGGAAAAGCCCACCACGCUUUUUUUUCUUCUUCUUCUUGUUCUUGACAAUAAAACCCCUACACACACCAAAAAAAAAAAUUACGCUCCUUUAAAAUAAAAAAAACUUUUUUAAUAACAAAAAAACAAACAACAACAAAAAAACAAAAGACAACUUUUAACAACGGAUCUCUUGGCUCUC
rnacentral:misc_RNA from 1 species